rnacentral:rRNA from 1 species
ACGAACGCUGGCGGCGUGCCUAAUACAUGCAAGUCGAACGCUUCUUUUUCCACCGGAGCUUGCUCCACCGGAAAAAGAGGAGUGGCGAACGGGUGAGUAACACGUGGGUAACCUGCCCAUCAGAAGGGGAUAACACUUGGAAACAGGUGCUAAUACCGUAUAACAAUCGAAACCGCAUGGUUUUGAUUUGAAAGGCGCUUUCGGGUGUCGCUGAUGGAUGGACCCGCGGUGCAUUAGCUAGUUGGUGAGGUAACGGCUCACCAAGGCGACGAUGCAUAGCCGACCUGAGAGGGUGAUCGGCCACAUUGGGACUGAGACACGGCCCAAACUCCUACGGGAGGCAGCAGUAGGGAAUCUUCGGCAAUGGACGAAAGUCUGACCGAGCAACGCCGCGUGAGUGAAGAAGGUUUUCGGAUCGUAAAACUCUGUUGUUAGAGAAGAACAAGGAUGAGAGUAACUGUUCAUCCCUUGACGGUAUCUAACCAGAAAGCCACGGCUAACUACGUGCCAGCAGCCGCGGUAAUACGUAGGUGGCAAGCGUUGUCCGGAUUUAUUGGGCGUAAAGCGAGCGCAGGCGGUUUCUUAAGUCUGAUGUGAAAGCCCCCGGCUCAACCGGGGAGGGUCAUUGGAAACUGGGAGACUUGAGUGCAGAAGAGGAGAGUGGAAUUCCAUGUGUAGCGGUGAAAUGCGUAGAUAUAUGGAGGAACACCAGUGGCGAAGGCGGCUCUCUGGUCUGUAACUGACGCUGAGGCUCGAAAGCGUGGGGAGCAAACAGGAUUAGAUACGCUGGUAGUCCACGCCGUAAACGAUGAGUGCUAAGUGUUGGAGGGUUUCCGCCCUUCAGUGCUGCAGCUAACGCAUUAAGCACUCCGCCUGGGGAGUACGACCGCAAGGUUGAAACUCAAAGGAAUUGACGGGGGCCCGCACAAGCGGUGGAGCAUGUGGUUUAAUUCGAAGCAACGCGAAGAACCUUACCAGGUCUUGACAUCCUUUGACCACUCUAGAGAUAGAGCUUCCCCUUCGGGGGCAAAGUGACAGGUGGUGCAUGGUUGUCGUCAGCUCGUGUCGUGAGAUGUUGGGUUAAGUCCCGCAACGAGCGCAACCCUUAUUGUUAGUUGCCAUCAUUUAGUUGGGCACUCUAGCAAGACUGCCGGUGACAAACCGGAGGAAGGUGGGGAUGACGUCAAAUCAUCAUGCCCCUUAUGACCUGGGCUACACACGUGCUACAAUGGGAAGUACAACGAGUCGCAAAGUCGCGAGGCUAAGCUAAUCUCUUAAAGCUUCUCUCAGUUCGGAUUGUAGGCUGCAACUCGCCUACAUGAAGCCGGAAUCGCUAGUAAUCGCGGAUCAGCACGCCGCGGUGAAUACGUUCCCGGGCCUUGUACACACCGCCCGUCACACCACGAGAGUUUGUAACACCCGAAGUCGGUGAGGUAACCUUUUGGAGCCAGCCGCCUAAGGUGGGAUAGAUGAUUGGGGUG